UGGGGAAUCUUGGACAAUGGGGGAAACCCUGAUCCAGCCAUGCCGCGUGAUCGAUGAAGGCCUUAGGGUUGUAAAGAUCUUUCAGCUGGGAAGAUAAUGACUGUACCAGCAGAAGAAGCCCCGGCUAACUCCGUGCCAGCAGCCGCGGUAAUACGGAGGGGGCUAGCGUUGUUCGGAAUUACUGGGCGUAAAGCGCACGUAGGCGGACCAUCAAGUUGGGGGUGAAAUCCCGGGGCUCAACCCCGGAACUGCCUCCAAAACUGCUGGUCUGGAGGUCGAGAGAGGCGAGUGGAAUUCCGAGUGUAGAGGUGAAAUUCGUAGAUAUUCGGAGGAACACCAGUGGCGAAGGCGGCUCGCUGGCUCGAUACUGACGCUGAGGUACGAAAGCGUGGGGAGCAAACA
rnacentral:rRNA from 1 species